rnacentral:rRNA from 1 species
AACCAGUACCGUGAGGGAAAGGUGAAAAGCACCCCGACGAGGGGAGUGAAACAGUACCUGAAACCGAACGCCUACAAACAGUUGGAGGGCCCAUGCGGCCUGACAGCGUACCUUUUGUAUAAUGGGUCAUCGACUUGGUCUCACGAGCAAGCUUAAGCCGUUAGGUGUAGGCGCAGCGAAAGCGAGUCUUAAUAGGGCGCAUGAGUUCGUGGGAUCAGACCCGAAACCGAGUGAUCUAGGCAUGUCCAGGAUGAAGGUAAGGUAACACUUACUGGAGGUCCGAACCCACAUCUGUUGAAAAAGAUCGGGAUGAGGUGUGCCUAGGGGUGAAAGGCCAAUCAAACUCGGAGAUAGCUGGUUCUCUGCGAAAUCUAUUUAGGUAGAGCGUCGUCCGAAUACCCUCGGGGGUAGAGCACUGAAUGGGUAAUGGGGGCCUACAGCCUUACUGAUCCUAAUCAAACUCCGAAUACCGAGGAGUACUAGACGGCAGACACACAGCGGGUGCUAACGUCCGUUGUGGAGAGGGAAACAACCCUGACCUACGACUAAGGCCCCUAAUUCAUGGCUAAGUGGGAAAGCAGGUGGGACGACCAAAACAACCAGGAGGUUGGCUUAGAAGCAGCCAUCCUUUAAAGAUAGCGUAACAGCUCACUGGUCUAAAUAAGUUGUCCUGCGGCGAAGAUGUAACGGGGCUCAAGCCAUGAGCCGAAGUCUAGGAUGCAAUUUAUUGCAUGGUAGCAGAGCGUAGUGUGACAUAGUUCCAUGUCUCUUUUGCGUCUUUCGGGACGUAUUGGAGACAAGGAGCUUUCUGUGAAGCCGGCCUGUGAGGGAUCCGGUGGAGAGAUCACUAGUGAGAAUGAUGACAUGAGUAGCGACAAAGGGAGUGAGAGACUCCCUCGCCGAAAAUCCAAGGGUUCCUGCUUAAAGCUAAUCUGAGCAGGGUGAGCCGACCCCUAAGGCGAGGCCGAAAGGCGUAGUCGAUGGGAACCAGGUUAAUAUUCCUGGGCCAGAUGGAAGUGACGGAUCUCGAGGGUAGUUCAUCCUUAUCGGAUUGAAUGGGCUGCUUAGAGGUCCCUGGAAAUAGCUCCAUCGCUAGAUCGUACCCUAAACCGACACAGGUGGAUAGGUAGAGAAUACCAAGGCGCUUGAGAGAACCACAUUUAAGGAACUCGGCAAAAUACCUCCGUAAGUUCGCGAGAAGGAGGCCCGUUCAGAACGCAAGUUUUGGGCGGGGGCACAAACCAGGGGGUGGCGACUGUUUACUAAAAACACAGGGCUCUGCGAAGUCGUAAGACGACGUAUAGGGUCUGACGCCUGCCCGGUGCCUGAAGGUUAAAAGGAGGAGUGCAAGCUCCGAAUUGAAGCCCAGGUAAACGGCGGCCGUAACUAUAACGGUCCUAAGGUAGCGAAAUUCCUUGUCGGG